CUUCCCUGUCAUUUCUAUAUAUAGAGUACCCUGGUAUUGCUAUGUCCCAGAUAUUUUUCUCAUUAUACCAUGUCUCAUUAACAGUGACUAAAUCUACAUUAUCAGUUGCCAUUAUUGCCACAAGUUCAUGGAUCUAAUUCCCUAAACUGCUAUCAUUGUAGACAUGACUAAGCUUAUAAUUUUUUUUAACACACUUGCUACAGGUACCUUCUGUCCUUGUUUUAGGGGGCAAUUGGAUU